rnacentral:piRNA from 1 species
UAGGUCACUGUAGCAAGUGGAGUGCAG